rnacentral:lncRNA from 1 species
GGUAACCUGCUCAGGUUUUCUUCCACACUGUGGAAGCUUUGUUCUUUGCAAUAAAUCUUGCUACUGCUCACUCUUUGGGUGCAUGCUGCUUUUAUGAGCUGUAACACUCACCGCGAAGAUCUGCAGCUUCACUCCUGAGCCCAGCAAGACCACAAGCCCACCGGAAGGAAUAAACAACUCCAGACACGCUGCUUUAAGAGCUGUGACACUCACUGCGAAGGUCUGCAGCUUCACUCCUGAGCCAGCGAGACCACGAACCCCCCAGAAGGAAGAAACUCCGAACACAUCUGAACAUCAGAAGGGAUAGACUCCAGACGCACCACCUUAAGAGCUGUAACACUCACCGCGAGUGUCUGCGGCUUCAUUCUUGGAGUCAGUGAGGCCAAGAACCCCACAAUUCUGGACACAAUACCACAGAUUGCUUUUCUCCUGAUGGCUCAGUUUCCUCCUCUGUAAAAUGAGAAUAACAGUCACCUUGUAGAAUAGCUGUGUGGGUUAAAUGUGUGUAAAGCAUUUCACAUUCAGUGUUCAGUAAAGACAGCUACUUUCAAGCUUUAAAUGGUAACUAAACAUAAGACCAUGGUGGAAAAGAAAACAUUCAGGAUGCUUCUUUCUUCAUGUUAAUUGUGUUUCCCAUUUUCCAGUCUCUCCUCCUUGCACCUAGGAAAAAACACUCUUGGAGACAGCAGUUCUGUAAAGGAAAUAUCAUAGGACCUGCUUAUUUUUUAUUAUUUUUUUUUUUUGAGAGAGAGUCUUGCUGUGUCACCCAUGCUGGAGUGCAAUCUUGGCUCACUGCAACCUCCGCCUCCAGGUUUCAAGCGAUUCUUCUGCCUCAGCCUCCCAAGUAACUGGAAUUAUAAGUGCAUGCCACCACACCCAGGUGAUUUUCAUAUUUUUUUAGUAGAGACAGGAUUUCACCAUGUUGGCAAGGCUGGUCUCAAACUCCUGAUCUCAAGUGAUCCACCUGCCUCGGCCUCCCGAAGUGCUGGGAUUACAGGCAUGAUCCACUGCACCCAGCCAGGACCAACUUAUUCUUUAUGCAAAACUAUUUUGUUGAUUUCAUGGGAAAUAUUAUUAGUAACAAGAGCUAUAAAUACAAGAUUAGUUUACUAGGGUUGUCAUAACAAAGUAGCACAGAGUAGAUGGUUUAAACAACAGAAAUCUGUUUCCUUGCAGUUCUAGAGGAUAAAUGGUCAAACUCAAGUCAUUGGCAGGUUUGGUUUCAGGCUAAGGCCUCUUUCCUUGGCUCAUAAAUGGUGGUUUUCUUAGUUCAAGCUGCUAUAACAAAUUACCAUAACUGGUUGGUGUGAACAACAAACAUUUAUUUCUCACAAUUCUGGAGGCUGGCAAGUCCAAGAUCAUGGCACUAGCAGACCCAGUGUCUGGUGAGGGCAUGCUUCCUGGUUUACAGGUGGUUACCUUCUCAUUAUAUCCUCACAUGGCAGAAAGCAGACAGAGAGAAAGCUAGCUUUGUCUUCUUAUAGGAGCACCAGUCCCAGCACGAGAGCUCCAUGCUUACAAUUGAAUUACCUGCAAGAGUUCCCCCACCUAAUGCCAUCCCAGGAGGGGUUAGGGUCCAAUAUAAGAAUCUGAGGGGAGGCCGGGGGCAGUGCCUCACACCUGUAAUCCCAGCAAUUUGAGAGGCCAAGGCCAGGGGAUUGCUUGAGCCCAGGAGUUCAAAACCAGCCUGGGCAACAUAGCAAGACCCCAUCCCUACAAAACAAUUUUUAAAAUAGCUGGGCAUGGUAGUGCAUGCCUGUAGUACCAUCUACUUGGGAGGCUGGGGUAGGAGGAUCACUGGA